rnacentral:misc_RNA from 1 species
AAGNNGGNUNGUUCCCCCCUGAAAGAAAAAAGGAGANNGAUUGAUAGUAAUUGAUAUCUUUCUUAUUUUGCCACGGGUGAGUAAAGAAUGGGCAACCUGCCCUUAAGAGGGGGAUAACACUAAGAAAUUGGUGCUAAUACCGCAUAACCUAGAGAGGUCACAUGACUUUUUUAGCAAAGGAGAAAUCCGCUUAAGGAUGGGCCCGCGUCUGAUUAGCUAGUUGGUGGGGUAACGGCCUACCAAGGCGACGAUCAGUAGCCGACCUGAGAGGGUGAUCGGCCACACUGGAACUGAGACACGGUCCAGACUC